rnacentral:rRNA from 1 species
UACGGGGGGGGCAAGCGUUUGUUCGGAUUUACUGGGCGUAAAGGGCGCGUAGGCGGCGUGACAAGUCACUUGUGAAAUCUCCGGGCUUAACUCGGAACGGCCAAGUGAAACUGUCAUGCUAGAGUGCAGAAGGGGCAAUCGGAAUUCCUGGUGUAGCGGUGAAAUGCGCAGAGUAUCAGGGAGGAACACCGGUGGCGAAGGCGGAUCUCUGGGCCGUAACUGAC